rnacentral:lncRNA from 1 species
GCCAAUUUAAGCCUUGCCCCCGAGUAAGCCAAUUUAAGCCUUGCCCCCGAGUAAGCCAAUUUAAGCCUUGCCCCCGAGCAAGCCCCUUCAAGCCUUGUCUUUGACAAGCCAAAUAUAAGCCUUGCCCCAAGCAAGCACAUUAAAAAAGCCUUGCCCUACGCAAGCACAAAAGGCCUUGAUCAUAUGCUCAAGUGUAAACCAUUAAAGUAUCGCCCGGGGACAUACAAAAAUCCCACAUUAUUUUGACAGUCCUCGAGGAUAUCACAUUACAACUUUUUGAAGUUAGUGUGCUCGAGGAUUACAGUCCUCGAGGAUGUCACAUUACAACUUUUUGAAGUUAGUUGUGCUCGAGGAUUACAGUCCUCGAGAAUGUCACUUUACAACUUUUUGAAGUAAGUUGUGCUCGAGGUUCACAGUCCUCGAGAAUGUCACAAUUCAAAGUCCAGUUGUGCUCGAGAAUGUCACUUUACAACUUUUUGAAGUUAGUUGUGCUCGAGGAUUACAGUCCUCGAGAAUGUCACUCAAUUUUUAAAGUUGGUUGUGCUCGGGACUAUGGUCCUCGAGAAUGCCUUAAUCUUUAAGACUAAUUGUUCUCAAGGUUCACAGUCCUCGAGAAUGUCACAAUUCAAAGUCCAGUUGUGCUCGAGGAUGUCACAUUACAACUUUUUGAAGUUAGUGUGCUCGAGGAUUACAGUCCUCGAGGAUGUCACAUUACAACUUUUUGAAGCUAGUUGUGCUCGAGGAUUACAGUCCUCGAGAAGGUCACUCAAUCUUUAAGACUAAUUGUUCUCGAGGUUUACAGUCCUCAAGAAUGUCACAUCAUCAUAUUUUUAUUGUUGCUCGAGAAUGUACGUCUCACCUAUUAAUCCCUUAAAUACGCUCGAGUUGUGGAAUCCUCGAGUAAACACUUCAAUAUCGCGCGAGCAGUAAAGUUUCGAAUUUGAUUGCUCGAUUGUAUGGAGUCCAAGAGGUCGAGAUAAAUAGUUCGAAUAAAUUAACUAAACAUACAUAAUCCUCGAUCAAUUUACAUCGUCGAAAUUAAACAAAAAAUUACAAAGGAUCGGGGUGGGAAAGUCAUCCAAUGUGGCCAAGAGGAGGAUCGAGGUUGCUGAUGUCGAUCUCAACGUCGUCCUCAGGACCAUCCUCAUCAUCUCCACCAGAUCCUCCUCCAUC